CCAGUGUGGUGGAGGGGCUCAGGGUCACAAUGCUGUCUUUAUGAAUUGAAUUAUUAAAGGAAAUCUGCAGUUGUGUCACCUCACGUCCAUCUGUCUGUCCAUAAGGGACACUGCAGUCUGUCCUGAUUAAACACAGCGUUUGUGUUUCAGAGCGAUAAUGUGACAAGAAAUAAAAUUCAUGAGAUACACACACACACACACACACUUGUUGUUCACUUACUUCAGUUUCUCUAAUUUGCAGUUUUCACUCCUCAGCCCCUCACACAGCUGAUCCACUCCUGAGUCCUCCAUGUUGUUGUUGAAGCUCAGGUUCAGUUCAGUCAGUCGUGAGUGUGGAGCAGAAAGAGCUGAGGAGAGAGCUGAGCAACAUCUGGAGGUGAGACGACAAUACUCAAGGCUGUG